UCAAUUAUGAAAAUUGUAAUAAAAAUUGUCCUAAACAGUUAGUUGAUAUUGGAAGAGUUAACCUUUUUAAAGAAUUCAAACAAUUAUUUGUUUACAAAUUGCGACUUUCGUGACCUAUUUUUUGUGUCAGACAAUCGGACAUGCGCACUCGCUCUUUAAAAAGUACGGGAAAAUUAUGGCGUUUCAAUGAAAACAUCGGAGUCUUACCAAAAUGGGAAAACCAAAACAUCAAAGCCCAGCUGUGAAGAAAGCUAAAUGUAUUAAAAAGAAAUACCAAAGUGGAUCCCCCGGGAAAGCCCUGAGAUGUAGACGAGCCAUUAUCGCAAUCGAAAAAGGUAAAAACCAGUGAGCCAGUUCCUGGUCCUUCAGGCACAACUGAUGCUACUUUGCUGAAGACCAUUGUGUUGGAGAAAAGUGUUAUUAAAGGAUACCAUGUCUACAAGAUCAAGCCACCUAUUACGGAUCCGCCUACUAAACUUAGGGUGGACUGUGAAUACACUAACAUCGUAGACAAAGAGGCAUGUUUUUUGUGGCUGCCAAACCUUGAGACAUUUAAUGAACAUAUUCAUGACAUGGUUACAGACCAAAGUAGACAAUUGAAAUUAUCCGACAUUGCCGGCCUUCCCAUUGGUCAUGUACCAAGAACAUUAGCAGGGUUUUUCAGAAUAGUUCUUGACGAGGAGGGAAGUAUUUACGCCAUUACAACUGGUGAACCGUGUCUAAGCUUUCCUCCCUGGCCAGCACUUAACGAGAAAGGAGGGGGUGCUGUUAUCCCAUGCUCCUAUUUCAUCUCGUGUCCAUCAAGAACAUUUGAAAUGUCUGUCUCCCUGUUGCGCUCAGCAUUGGAAACAAUGCAAGAAGGUUCAGCUAUGAACGUGUCAUUUAUUAAGUGAAAAGAACAGUUGUUUAAUUGAUGCUUAAUGAUACAGGUUAAAAUCUUCCAAGUGUGUAAUCAUGUUUUUUAAAUGUGAUUUUUUUAUAUAAGUCUAGUCAAACUUUGAUUCGUUUUGUACACCUGGUAUGUGAUGUUAUAAGUGUGAGUAUUUUUUGAUUGAUGCUUGAUGAUACGGGGUAAAAUCUUCAAGUGCUUUAAAAAUGUGAUUUUAUAAGUCUAGUCAAACUUUUAUUGUUGUGUAUACCUGGUAUGUGAUGUUACAAGUGUAAAUAUUUGUUUUGUAUACCUGGUUUGUGAUGUUAUGAGUGUGAGUAUUUGUUAAUUCCUGUCUUAUAGCUGGAAUCUUAAUGAAUGCAUGUUCUAAAGUUGUGUUAGUUUGUUAUUUAAUGCUAGCAUGUAUGUUUAAAAUACAAUCUAGUUAAAUCAUUGUUCUCUUUUAAAAUGCCCCCUUUGUUAAAUUUGAAUAUGACAUGUCCACAAGGCAUAUAUAGGAAUACAUUGAUUAACUGGUACUAAUGUAUGCCACAACUUCUUAAUUCAAUGUGAAACACAUUAUAUACUUCUAAUUUAGUGAAGUGUAACCCUUUGACAAAGUUUUAUAACUACUUUGAGAACACCCAUACUUUGAUCCGAAACUGCCCAAGGUGAACCGGAAGUAACCAAAAUUGGUAAGGUUA